GAGGAAGACUUCUAAAUGAAUUAUGUAUUUCAACAAAACAAUUUUUGCUAAUAAACUUGCUUAUGGUAAAAAAGUAAACACAUGAACUAAAAAAUGUAAACCUACGCUGCCUUGACAUGGAUUAAAAUCCCUUCCUUUCUUAGCUAAUAUAGCCUUAGUCAGCAAUUAUGUACCACUUAUAAAGUAUGUGUUUAUAUAAUUUUAGUAAAUGUAAGGAUAGCAAGUGAUCCCAUAUUGUCAGUUGUGUUGGACAUUAAAGAGCUACUGUUUUUAUCAUAUUGUCAUUCAGAUAAAUCCCCUGAGAUAUUAUCGAAUACUCAUACCCAGUUGGCUUCAUAAAAAGUGCAUCUAAAUGUUCUGUGGUUGUCACAUCACCCUGAAGGACCUCUUCACCAUCUAUGAGACUGAAGAUAUCAUAUCGCCUCUCUACACCCUAGCCAUUACUUGAGCCUCUCCUGUGCAGAAAAUUAGGACAACAUCUGAGGAGGGCUAGGACAAGGAUAACUGUCCACCAGGGACCAAGCUAAGAUUGGUGGUGCACUGAAUGCCAGACUUGGGAGGAUUUGAGCAUCUCCCUGCCUUCAGUUCUUCCGUGACAAUAUUUUAGUGUCUGGCUCACUUUUUUGAUCAAAGAAGAUCAUUUACUGGGACUUCAGAAUGAAGGUACUGCCCCCUGAUUUUCCUGGAUCACAAGCCAUAAUGUAGAAACGUUUCUCACAUUUUGUCUGAUGAAUAUUACUGACAA
rnacentral:lncRNA from 1 species